rnacentral:rRNA from 1 species
GACGAACGCUGGCGGCGUGCUUAACACAUGCAAGUCGAGCGGUAAGGCCCUUUCGGGGUACGACGAGCGGCGAACGGGUGAGUAACACGUGGGUGACCUGCCCUCCAGCUCUGGGAGUAAGCCUCGGGAAACGUAGGGUCGUAAUACUGGAUAUGACUCCACGGUGCAUGUCGUGGGGUGGAAAGCCUUGUGCGGCUGAGGAUGGGCCCGCGGCCUAUCAGCUUGUUGGUGGGGUGAUGGCCUACCAAGGCGACGACGGGUAGCCGGCCUGAGAGGG